CCGUUAUAACCGGCGAUUUCCGAAUGGGGAAACCCAGUGUGUUUCGACACACUAUCAUUAACUGAAUCCAUAGGUUAAUGAGGCGAACCGGGGGAACUGAAACAUCUAAGUACCCCGAGGAAAAGAAAUCAACCGAGAUUCCCCCAGUAGCGGCGAGCGAACGGGGAGGAGCCCAGAGCCUGAAUCAGUGUGUGUGUUAGUGGAAGCGUCUGGAAAGGCGCGCGAUACAGGGUGACAGCCCCGUACACAAAAAUGCACAUACUGUGAGCUCGAUGAGUAGGGCGGGACACGUGGUAUCCUGUCUGAAUAUGGGGGGACCAUCCUCCAAGGCUAAAUACUCCUGACUGACCGAUAGUGAACCAGUACCGUGAGGGAAAGGCGAAAAGAACCCCGGCGAGGGGAGUGAAAAAGAACCUGAAACCGUGUACGUACAAGCAGUGGGAGCCUCUUAAUGGGGUGACUGCGUACCUUUUGUAUAAUGGGUCAGCGACUUAUAUUCUGUAGCAAGGUUAACCGAAUAGGGGAGCCGAAGGGAAACCGAGUCUUAACUGGGCGUUAAGUUGCAGGGUAUAGA
rnacentral:rRNA from 1 species